UGCGUAGGCGGGCUAUUAAGUCAGUGGUGAAAUCUCUCGGCUCAACCGAGAAACUGCCAUUGAAACUGAUAGUCUUGAGUAUGGUUGUGGUAGGCGGAAUAUAGCAUGUAGCGGUGAAAUGCUUAGAUAUGCUAUAGAACACCGAUCGCGAAGGCAGCUUACCAAGCCAUUACUGACGCUCAUGCACGAAAGCGUGGGGAGCAAACAGGAUUAGAUACCCUGGUAGUCC
rnacentral:rRNA from 1 species